CGAACUGCGAGUGAUUCAGCCAAGGUCAGGGCAGACCGCAGUUCAAAAUGGCACCGCACUGCAACGUGGACGGAUGUUGUAAGGCGCGAAUGAGUACAAGUUGUACACUGGAGUAUGAUGGGCCAAUAUGCCAUUACUUGAAUGUGUCUCCGCCGUGUCGUGUGCCGUGUGUAAAAGACAUCGUUUUCCCAGCAGCCGAAAGAUACGGGAAAUGCGAAACUGGCACUUUUCAGUGAAAUUACAGGGUUGUGAAGACAUCCGUCUGAUCUGCCGAGUCCGACGGAGGCUGCUGAGAGACACUCACGCGUUCGGCGAGGUGGCGGCUGAUUGAAAACACGCCGCUCUAAUCAGAGGUGCAUUGAGAUCGGAAGGCUCGGAUGCGCUUAGAGAUGAAGAGGACGCUAAUGAAUCCUGCAAAAAAGUCUGUUGUAGAACCCGCUACGAAAUGAGGACAACCACAGACUGGAUAUCUCACCCGAGUUAUCGUUAAUUACCUUGAAGCUCACAAAGGAUCAUGGGAUGUACAGCCUGGUGCGCUGGAGUGAUUGCUCGCCGGGAUCAUGGCACCUGGCCAAAUGAAAGCGCGUUUGGAGCGCUCAAGGGCUUAAGAGGUAGCUCUGGAACCCAGCUCCGACCGUUAUCGCUUCUUACCUCCGUGUUCUGGGAGGCAGCGCCGGCGAGCCGCCUUCAGAAACCGUGCUGGGGACUGCCGCGUGACCGUUAUCCGCAAUGACAUUAGCGGCGAGGUUUGACGGCAAUUUUUGUGACGGGAACGACGGGAUCAAUCCCAGAAAUCUGCGCAAGAAGUCUGUGGUGGUAUGUGGGAGCUGGAAAAU